rnacentral:rRNA from 1 species
GACGAACGCUGGCGGCGUGCUUAACACAUGCAAGUCGAACGGAAAGGCCCCCUUGUGGGGUACUCGAGUGGCGAACGGGUGAGUAACACGUGAGUAACCUACCCUUGACUUUGGGAUAACUUCAGGAAACUGGGGCUAAUACCGGAUAGGAGCUCCUGCUGCAUGGUGGGGGUUGGAAAGUUUCGGCGGUUGGGGGUGGACUCGCGGCUUAUCAGCUUGUUGGUGGGGUAGUGGCUCACCAAGGCUUUGACGGGUAGCCGGCCUGAGAGGGUGACCGGCCACAUUGGGACUGAGAUACGGCCCAGACUCCUACGGGAGGCAGCAGUGGGGAAUAUGGCACAAUGGGCGGAAGCCUGAUGCAGCAACGCCGCGUGCGGGAUGACGGCCUUCGGGUUGUAAACCGCUUUCGCCUGUGACGAAGCGUGAGUGACGGUAAUGGGUAAAGAAGCACCGGCUAACUACGU